rnacentral:rRNA from 1 species
UCGAGAAUCUUCGGCAAUGGGCGCAAGCCUGACCGAGCGACGCCGCGUGCGGGAUGAAGGCCUUCGGGUUGUAAACCGCUGUCAGAGGGGAGGAAAUGCAUGGGGGUUCUCCCUCAUGUUUGACCUAUCCUCAGAGGAAGUACGGGCUAAGUUCGUGCCAGCAGCCGCGGUAAUACGAACCGUACGAACGUUAUUCGGAAUCACUGGGCUUAAAGAGUGCGUAGGCGGCCUGGCAAGUUGGGUGUGAAAUCCCUCGGCUCAACCGAGGAACUGCGCUCAAAACUGCUAGGCUUGAGAGAGAUAGAGGUGAGCGGAACUAAUGGUGGAGCGGUGAAAUGCGUUGAUAUCAUUAGGAACACCAGUGGCGAAAGCGGCUCACUGGGUCUCAUCUGACGCUGAGGCACGAAAGCUAGGGGAGCGAACG